rnacentral:rRNA from 1 species
GACGAACGCUGGAGGCGUGCUUAACACAUGCAAGUCGAACGGAAAGGCCCUGCUUUUGUGGGGUGCUCGAGUGGCGAACGGGUGAGUAACACGUGAGUAACCUGCCCUUGACUUUGGGAUAACUUCAGGAAACUGGGGCUAAUACCGGAUAGGAGCUCCUGCUGCAUGGUGGGGGUUGGAAAGUUUCGGCGGUUGGGGAUGGACUCGCGGCUUAUCAGCUUGUUGGUGGGGUAGUGGCUUACCAAGGCUUUGACGGGUAGACGGCCUGAGAGGGUGACCGGCCACAUUGGGACUGAGAUACGGCCCAGACUCCUACGGGAGGCAGCAGUGGGGAAUAUUGCACAAUGGGCGGAAGCCUGAUGCAGCAACGCCGCGUGCGGGAUGACGGCCUUCGGGUUGUAAACCGCUUUCGCCUGUGACGAAGCGUGAGUGACGGUAAUGGGUAAAGAAGCACCGGCUAACUACGUG